rnacentral:misc_RNA from 1 species
UCGAAAUCUGCAAUAAAUAGACUGUGAACAUGUUCCCACCUCACGGGAGUCCCGGCGGGCAGGACACGCCCCUCCCGUCGGAGCCCCACCCCCGUCGUGUCCUCGUGCGAGCGAGCAUGCUCGGCGGGGCAACAAACCCACGGCGCGGAACGGCCCAAGGAUCACAAUGGUGGAACGCACCCCCGACAUGCCCCCGUACGUGGUGUGUCAUGCGGGGGAUGUGUAUCCCUGGAUUGAAUAGUACCAUAAAAC